rnacentral:rRNA from 1 species
AGCCACAGCCAUAUCACCCUGCAGCCCAAGACUGGUUGCCCACUGAAGCUAAGCAGGUUUGAGCCUGGUCAGUACCUGGAUGGGAGACCUCCUAGGAAAACUAGGUUGCUGUUGGAA